CAGGACUUUUCCCACCUGGCCUGGAAGUGACUCAGCAUCUCUGCUGCCGUCUGUCUGCCUGUCUGUCCAAGACUUCUGGUCGACCAGAGUCCCUGGGCAUGUGGGAUCAUAGUUCUGCAACCAUGGAUCAAACCUGCAACCUCUUCAACCACCGCUAACCACCGGACGACCAGAGAAUGCCCUUGACUGGUGGCUUUAAGUCACUGUUUCGCUGAGCAGCAGAAGGCUCUUUCUCCCUUGGAGCAGUGCUCAAAGGCUGGUGGAAAACACAUUUGUCACAAAAACAACACUCUGCUCUCAGAGAAGAUCCCACCUCCUCCAGUGUCCCAAUGAGGAGCAAACAACUUAGAUGGGCUCUAGGUCUUUCAUAACCGG